AAGAGGAGCAAAAUUCUACAGCUCUGCAAUUCGGUAGUAACAUCCCAUGCAAUUUACAAGUAAGAAUUCCAACAGUCAUGCCGUUAUUUACAAGUAAGAAUUCCAUCAGUCAUGCCGCCUAUCCACGCCCAUGGCCACGGCCUGCAGCCACUUCACGCGGCCACGGGAGCAAAAUUCUACAGCUAUGCAAUUUCGUACUAACAUCCGACGUAGUCACCAACUACAGCAUGCAAUUUACAAGAAUUCCAAGAGUCAUGCAGUUAUUUACAAGUAAGAAUUCCAACAGGCUGCCUAUCCACGCCCAUGCCCGCGGCCACGGCCCAACGCAGCCUCAGCCUCAGCUUGCUCCGCAGCCUCAGCAGCCUGCGCUGCUUCCAUCUCUACUGGUUGAAAGAUCCCGGGGGGGUGGACAGGCCCCAAUGGGAGUGGCACAACUUCGGCACCCAAGGCUUCCCUCAUUUGAGUUUCAAGGGCUUCCAUUGCAGCCACAUACUCGUCCCGCUUGUUCCUUGGAAAAUCUGGGUACAGGCGGUAUUCGAAGACCAUCAACUCUGGAUGAGGUAUGUGAUAGCCAGCUCUUUCAAAAAAAUCCUCGUCACAGGGUAAUGUUGUCCUCCGACGCAUUCUGAGGCGCCCUUUGACCUCAUACCUCACCAAAGAGAUCUCUCCUCCUUCUGCCCCAAGCUCCUCUGCCAUAGCUUCAAGUUCUUCCACAGUCCCAAGAAAAAAGAUACCAUUGCGGGUAAGUCCAUCAUCAUCAACAGCUUCUCCCUCUUGAACCCAUCGGAACAUGGCAGGGUUCAACAACAUUGCAGCUCGCUCUUCAGCCUUGAGCAACCUUUUGGCUGUCCAAGCUUGGGUCAAGGAAAUGCGCAAUCUUCGCAUAGUCGAAAACCUGUGCAGGGGUGUUCCAACUAACUCUGCUGCAUCAUUAGGUUCCAUGCUGAAAGUGAAAUAUAAAAUUUAGGGACGGAGGAAGUACAUGGCAUUUGAUCACCGAUUUCUGUAAAGGACAGGCCAAUAGGGUUCCAUGCUGAAAAUGGAAUAUAAAAUUUAUAGACAAUGUGCCAAUAUCUCCAAUAUCAAAUACUAUGAAAAUAUAUAUCAUGACGGAUUUAAUAAAGCUGAUUUAGAGUUGCUGAUGUUGGUAAA